rnacentral:rRNA from 1 species
UAGGGAAUCUUCCACAAUGGGCGAAAGCCUGAUGGAGCAACGCCGCGUGUGUGAUGAAGGGUUUCGGCUCGUAAAACACUAUUGUAAGAGAAGAAUGACAUUGAGAGUAACUGUUCAAUGUGUGACGGUAUCUUACCAGAAAGGAACGGCUAAAUACGUGCCAG